AAACAACUGAAACAAAUUAUUUUUUUGUCGUUGUGGAUGAUUGUGGAAGACAUAUAUCGAGGGGUGAAAGGGUAUUUGGUUUAAGCAACAUUUUCGCGACAUCACAGGAGAGCCAUUUAGAGUUUAAAAGUUGG